AGCGAACGCUGGCGGCAGGCCUAACACAUGCAAGUCGAACGAAGUCUUCGGACUUAGUGGCGGACGGGUGAGUAACACGUGGGAACGUGCCUUUAGGUUCGGAAUAACUCAGGGAAACUUGUGCUAAUACCGAAUGUGCCCUUCGGGGGAGAGAUUUAUCGCCUUUAGAGCGGCCCGCGUCUGAUUAGCUAGUUGGGGAGGUAAAGGCUCACCAAGGCGACGAUCAGUAGCUGGUCUUAGAGGAUGAUCAGCCCCAUUGGGACUGAGACACGGCCCAAACUCCUACGGGAGGCAGCAGUGGGGAAUCUUGCGCAAUGGGCGAAAGCCUGACGCAGCCAUGCCGCGUGAAUGAUGAAGGUCUUAGGAUUGUAAAAUUCUUUCUCCGGGGACGAUAAUGACGGUACCCGGAGAAGAAGCCCCGGCUAACUUCGUGCCAGCCGCCGCCGUAA
rnacentral:rRNA from 1 species